rnacentral:rRNA from 1 species
CCUACGGGUGGCAGCAGUAGGGAAUAUUGCUCAAUGGGGGAAACCCUGAAGCAGCAACGCCGCGUGGAGGAUGAAGGUUUUAUGAUUGUAAACUCCUUUUGUUAGAGAAGAUUAUGACGGUAUCUAACGAAUAAGCACCUGCUAACUCCGUGCCCGCAGCCGCGGUAAUACGGAGGGUGCAAGCGUUACUCGGAAUCACUGGGCGUAAAGAGUGCGUAGGCGGGGUAAUAAGUCAGAUGUGAAAUCCUGUAGCUUAACUACAGAGCUGCAUUUGAAACUGUUACUCUGGAGUGUGGGAGAGGUAGGUGGAAUGCUUGGUGUAGGGGUAAAAUGCGUAGAGAUCAAGAGGAAUACUCAUUGCGAAGGCGACCUGCUGGAACAUUACUGACGCUGAUGCACGAAAGCGUGGGGAGCAAACAGGAUUAGAUACCCCUGUAGUC